rnacentral:rRNA from 1 species
AUAAUUGGGCGUAAAGGGCUCGCAGGCGGUUUCUUAAGUCUGAUGUGAAAGCCCCCGGCUCAACCGGKGAGGGUCAUUGGAAACUGGGAAACUUGAGUGCAGAAGAGGAGAGUGGAAUUCCACGUGUAGCGGUGAAAUGCGUAGAGAUGUGGAGGAACACCAGUGGCGAAGGCGACUCUCUGGUCUGUAACUGACGCUGAGGAGCGAAAGCGUGGGGAGCGAACAGGAUUAGAUACCCUGGUAGUCCACGCCGUAAACGAUGAGUGCUAAGUGUUAGGGGGUUUCCGCCCCUUAGUGCUGCAGCUAACGCAUUAAGCACUCCGCCUGGGGAGUACGGUCGCAAGACUGAAACUCAAAGGAAUUGACGGGGGCCCGCACAAGCGGUGGAGCAUGUGGUUUAAUUCGAAGCAACGCGAAGAACCUUACCAGGUCUUGACAUCCUCUGACAACCCUAGAGAUAGGGCUUUCCCUUCGGGGACAGAGUGACAGGUGGUGCAUGGUUGUCGUCAGCUCGUGUCGUGAGAUGUUGGGUUAAGUCCCGCAACGAGCGCAACCCUUGAUCUUAGUUGCCAGCAUUCAGUUGGGCACUCUAAGGUGACUGCCGGUGACAAACCGGA